rnacentral:misc_RNA from 1 species
UGACCCCCUUGUCACUGAAUAUUGAACAGUUAUUCUUACCAACAAGUACCGAAAGGAAUCGAAUACGUCCCCGCUUCAAAAUGUCUGGCAGACUUCGUCUCUACAAGGAGAAGCUGGAAGGCUACAACCGCUUCUACUCCAUUGUGAAGACGAUCAAGAUGGUGACGAUGGCCAAGUUCCGCCAGGCGCAGGUGCGGAUCAAGACGCGUGACUACACGCUUCGCUAUACCGAGAAGGCUUUUAGCAAGCCGGGCCAGCUUGUCGGGGACUCGCCGCAGGCUAAGACCAUCUACAUCCCCGUCAUGACGAACCGUGGCUCGUGCGGUGCUCUCAAUAGCAACGUUGUGAAGGCGAUCGACAGCGUUGCCUCUAGCCGCGCCUACCUCAUGCCCCUCGGCAAGAGGGGUAUCGAGUCGCUCUCGAAGCUGUACCCGUCCUCCUUCCGAAUGGGCAUCGUCAACGACAUGCACGAGCCGAUGCACUUCGCGUACGCCACGUACGUCUGGGAGAACGCGCAGCAACUGUGCCCCGAGGCCGACCGCGUCCACGUCAUUUUUCACCGCUGUGUGAGCGCUGGCUCGCAGAAGCAGUGCUACUACAACAUCCCCUCCUACGAGAAGUGGAGGGAGGAUCUGGCUGACGCCUCCAGCACGGAGAACCAGAAGAGUCGUUACCUCUUUGCCAACACGCUUCUGAACGAGGACGAGCAGAUGAUUCGCGACUUCUACGACUUCCACGCGACCCUGGCCAUCCUGAACGCGGUGUGCGAGAACGAGCUCUCGGAGCAGGCCGCGCGUCUGGUCGCUGUGGAAGGUCAGCUGUCGAACAUCAGCACGCUACAGCAGAAGACCAGCUCCUUGUACAACAAAACUCGCCAGAGCAGCAUUACUUCGUCGCUGAUCGAGAUUAUCUCCGCCAUGACGUCGCUCGAGGGUAACGCGGCGAAGGGCGUGCAGCGGACAAACUUCUGGGAGGGUGCGCGCACGAUGUGAGCGGUGCACGACGCAGUACCGGCACCUAGAGUGAUGGACCUCGCCCUCCCCCAAAUCUGCGCGCGUCCGAUUUGCAGAGUGCGUUUCCUCUGUUGUAGCGAGUCUCGUGUGUCGAGGUUGUUUCUCUUUAGUUUUCUCGUAACAUCAGUGUGUCUUCCUCCCUCUUCGAGGGAGGGAAGGCACACUUGCACGGUCCACUCCGCCCGCACACACCGAGAGAAGUACCAUUUAGCACUUUUUUUCGUUUUCCUAAGAGUAUCGGCGUGAUGCCGCAUUACGUAUUGGUAGGAGCUAAACCCCUCACGAAAGGAAGAGCUAAUGCGGAAAGAACAAAACGGAGCGCGUGUCGCUGAUCCCCCCUCUCUCCGCCCCUGGAGCACUCCUUGUGCGCUGCUUGCUCAGCAUUUCCUUUGUGUGGAAGCGGGCUUAGGGGGCCGUGUGCGCAAGACUCUGGCGGAUCGCUGCGCCUGACCUACACUGAGCACCUUUAGCGUCUGCUGGAUGCAGCGCCCCUUGCCUGAACGUAUGCCGCUCUGCCUGCCUCUCGCUGUCCUCUCACUGUCUUCAAGAAGAUGAUUGUGACAGUGUCGGUGGCGAGAGUGCUGGACGAGGGAGAGCUGUAUGUCCUUUUCUGCCCUGCUCCGUUUCAGGUGGGACCGAAUAUGGGAGAGGCAAGUAGAGGGGAGUGGACAGGGUGAGAGAGCUGUCUCGUCAAAGCAGCGCGUCUCCCUUCGCUUCCUGCGCACAGAUGCCUUCCUCCGACCCACCUGCGCGUGUGCACGUGCCUCGACGUAAGACUACCUGCCUCUGCAUCUUAUCAUUCUCGCGGUCGUCCCCACCGUUGUGGUUCUCUCUUCUACAAACCCCGCGCUGGGGCUAACUUAACCUCUACCCUUCCAACGCACAUCAACAG